rnacentral:lncRNA from 1 species
UAAGACCAUUUAUGACAUUGGAGAUGAAAGACAAUUGCUGAUUAAGUCUAUACAUAAUUAAGCCAUAAGAUGAAGUGGAAACUCGAAAGUGAGAAUCUCAAUCCCUUAUAAAUAACAACAUAAAAACUAAAUACUGAAGAAUAUGAUCUAAGUAAAUUUCUCCAACUGUAUGUUUUUGUAGGUGAUACUCCAUAGAUCCACUAAACUAACUCUGGAUUCUCUGAAAUGUUUAAAUCGUUUCUACAUACACAAACUUGCUUUAUGAGAAUUUAAGAUUUAUGCUGACAACUGGAUCAAACAUCACAAGUGAAAUUACAAAACAUAAUAGAUCCUUUUCAACUACUUUCACAUCAUUAUUCUUGUUUUUGAUGAGCAAAGCACAAGUGAGUGAUUUAGAC